rnacentral:rRNA from 1 species
ACGGGAGGCAGCAGUGAGGAAUAUUGGUCAAUGGGCGGAAGCCUGAACCAGCCAAGUCGCGUGAAGGAUGAAGGUAUUAUGUAUUGUAAACUUCCUUAGCUGUGGAGCAAUAAGGGCUAUGUAUAGCCUGAUGAGAGUACACAGAGAAUAAGGAUCGGCUAACUCCGUGCCAGCAGCCGCGGUAAUACGGAGGAUCCGAGCGUUAUCCGGAUUUAUUGGGUUUAAAGGGAGCGUAGGCGGUAUUUUAAGCGUGUUGUGAAAUGUAGAUGCUCAACAUCUGAAUUGCAGCGCGAACUGGAGUACUUGAGUGCGCAGGAAGUUGGCGGAAUUCGUCGUGUAGCGGUGAAAUGCUUAGAUAUGACGAAGAACUCCGAUUGCGAAGGCAGCUGACUGUAGCGUAACUGACGCUGAAGCUCGAAGGUGCGGGUAUCGAACAGGAUUAGAUACCCUGGUA